rnacentral:rRNA from 1 species
CGCAUCUGUGCAUGCAGCAUAUCAAUAAGCGGAGGAAAAGAAACUAACAAGGAUUCCCCUAGUAACGGCGAGUGAAGCGGGAAGAGCUCAAAUUUGAAAUCUUAAAGGGUUUCCCUUUACGAAUUGUAGUUUAAAGAAGUGUUUUCUGUUGAGGUUUUGGUAAAAGUUCUUUGGAAUAGGACAUCAUAGAGGGUGAGAAUCCCGUAUUUGACCUUUACUUUCAACUUUGUGAUACACUUUCAAAGAGUCGGAUUGUUUGGGAAUGCAGUCCAAAAUGGGUGGUAAAUUUCAUCUAAAGCUAAAUAUUGGCUGAGAGACCGGAUAGCGAACAAGUACCGUGAGGGAAAGAUGAAAAGAACUUUGAAAAGAGAGUUAAACAGUACGUGAAAUUGUCAAAAGGGAAGCGCUUGACACCAGUGUUGUUUUUCUGAAAAUCAAUUAAAGAACUGUUUAUGCUAAGUUGUUUAGACUUUAUCAGCUAAUCUGUUUAGUUUUGAGCUUUUCUUUAAUGCACUUUUCAGUUAACAAGUCAACAUCAAUUUCUUUUGCUGUAAAAAAGCUUGAGGAAGGUGGCUUGAGAUUCGUCUUAAGUGUUUAUAGCCUCUUGCCUAUGCAGUCGGAGAGAUUGAGGUCUGCAGCGUAGAUCCUUCGGGGCUAAAUGCAUUUGUGCUAAGUUAUAGCAUUUUAUAGACAACUUGUUGACUAUGAUUUGUCUUGUAGCUUACUCGCUUAUGUUAUUUUACCUACGCUUAGGAUGUUGAAUCUGUGCGAGACUAC